AUGGUAACCGGCGCUGACUUAAUAAAAGAAGGGCAGCCAAGCGACUUUACACAUUUGUCUCAGGACUCGGAGACAUUGGCAGCAAAAACAACAAGCUUGAAACAUUUUGGUUAUUUUGCAGCAGCAAUGGAGCGCCAUUUGCCGUGGGCCAUUUGGAAGCUCUGGAGACGUUUUAAACGUUGGAGACGCCGACGGAGACAGCGGUGGCAGCCGGUGGCGGAAGUUGCUGUGCUUGGUCGUCCACCUAGACCUCCACCUAGACGUCGGCGGCCUCGCUUUGACCCACCUACUUCCCACGUUGAGGAAGUUGUCCCCCCCACCUCUGACAUUCAGGUACCUCACUUGGACUCACCCCCUUCUUACUGUGAGGUUCCACCAAGCUGGGGGGAAACACCACUUCCUCUUUAUUGUGAGCUUUUUCCUUCUUCUUCUCCUCCACACUCUCCCCUUCCUUCUGGCUCUUUUGCUCCUUCUCUUUCUCCUCCAGGCUCUCCUGUUCCUUCUGGCUCUUUUGCUCCUUCUCUUUCUCCUCCAGGCUCUCCUGUUCCUUCUGGCUCUUUUGCACUUUCUCUUUCUCCUCCAGGCUCUCCCCUUCCUUCUGGCUCUUUUGCUCCUUCUCUUUCUCCUCCAGGCUCUCCCCUUCCUUCUGGCUCUUUUGCUCCUUCUCUUUCUCCUCCAGGCUCUCCCCUUCCUCCUUCUUCUUCUUCUUUUCCUUCCACACCCCCUCCUCCUUAUUCUCUUGUUCCUUCUUGCACUCCUGCUCCUUCGCUUUCUCCUCCAGGCUCUCCUGUUUCUUCUUCUUUUCCACCUUCACCUCCUCCUCCUUCCCCUCUGGUUCCACCUAUUGUGGCUCUUUCUGAGCUGCCCUGUGUUCCGGAUGCUGGCCUGUCCCUGUCUCCUGUUAUUCAGGACUCAGGCUCUGUAGUGCACGGGACCAGCGAGGACGGGACCAGCGAGGACGGGACCAGCGAGGACGGGACCAGCGAGGACGGGACCAGCGAGGACGUACCGGAUGGGGGGGACGAGGAGGCUCCAAGCAGCAGCACGUCACUAAGGAGAGGUAGGGAGGACAGUGAUGAGGAGGGGGCUGCUCCUAAAAGACCAUGUUGUACUGUGAGACACUGUGUCACACAGUAAACUUGGUCUUUCCCAUUGUUGAAUGGCAGCAGCCACCUCUUCAUUCACGGAUAACUGGCCUCUGUUUCUGACAGGACCAGUUUAUCCUACUGUCUUCUUUUUUCUUUCUUUCUUGAUUUCUUUCUUUUAUAAUUUUAAAUAUUCAUCCAAACCCUGAGAACUAGCCCUUGCGUCUGGCUGGGCAGUUCUUGUCCCUGGUAGCGUCUGGCGCCGGGACUUUUCUUUCUUUCUUUUCUGGAUGAAUACAAGUUUGAAUGGUAAUAUUUUCCCUGAGAACUAGCCUUUGCGUCUGGCUGGGCAGUUCUUGUCCCAGGUUGCGUCUCGCACUGGGGCCCUGCGUUUACAGUUUAGCAUGGCGGUUGGAUGGACUUUUCUUUCACCCUGGAGGCUGAGUUCAGCGCCUGGCAGGGCCGUCGACCCCGCCAUGCAAGUUGCCCUAGCGUCUGGCAGGGUAACUAUCUUGUUUAUUACUGUGUUUUCCUCCACAGCGAUAGGUCAGUUCAGUCACAGUGGCACCAGUGGCACCAGGGACACAUGUCAUCUCCCACGGAAGCUCCUCAGUGGCAGAGCAGGAUGGACUGCAGUGCCACGUGUUAUGGAGCGGACACAUGGCUGUGUGCUGUUCUAGUCAUGCUCCACACCACAGGGAGCAGUGCCACUGAUACUGAUGUACUGACCAGUGUGUCUGUCAGUCCAGUGGACAAAGGUGAGUACAAGAUUUUGAUUGUGUGACAUUCAAUUUCAAAGAUGUCAAAAGACGGAGUUGAGUAGAAAUAAAUGUUUGUAUUACAUUGAAAUUCA
ensembl:lncRNA